CGCCUGGCCGCUGGCUGCGCUAGGACGCACCGCCGCUGGUCGCCUAGGGGUAGUGGGGAAGGCGGAGCGAGAGGGACCGGGAGACUGGCGCUCGCCCGGGCGGCACACGGCAUGUAGCUGUGGGCUCCCGCGCCCUCGUGAAGGUGUCGGGCCGCGGCCCCGCCAUGGCUGGGAAGGACAGUGGGAACCUGAAGACAGUGAGGCUGUGGCGGGACGCCGCCUUGCGCGCCAGGAAGCUGCGGAGCAACCUGCGCCAGCUCACCCUCAGCGCGGCCGGGGGCUGCCCCGGGGCCGGGGCGGAUCAGAUCGACUCCUCCGACGCCCCCCAGCUCGUGCUGCCGGCCAACAUCGGGGACAUUGAGGUGCUGAACCUGGGGAACAACAGCCUGGAGGAGGUGCCCGACGGGCUGGGGUCGGCGCUGGGCAGCCUGCGCGUCCUGGUCCUGCGCAGGAACCGCUUUGCCCGGCUGCCUCCGGCGGUGGCUGACCUGGGCCACCACCUCACCGAGCUGGACGUGAGCCACAACCGACUGACUGCCCUGGGCACGGAGGUGGUGAGCGCCCUGCACGAGCUGCGCAAGCUAAACCUCAGCCACAACCAGCUGCCCAUCCUGCCCGCCCAGCUGGGCGCUCUCGCCCACCUGGAGGAGCUGGAUGUUAGCUUCAAUCGGCUGGCGCACCUGCCAGACUCCCUCUCCUGCCUCUACCGACUGCGCACCCUCGACGUGGACCACAACCAGCUCACUGCUUUUCCCCAGCAGCUGCUGCAGCUGACGGCCCUGGAGGAGCUGGACGUGUCCAGCAACCGGCUGCGGGGCCUGCCUGAGGAUAUCAGUGCCCUGCGUGCCCUUAAGAUCCUCUGGCUGAGUGGGGCCGAGCUUGGCACCUUGCCCGAGGGCUUCUGUGAGCUGGCCAGCCUGGAGAGCCUCAUGCUAGAUAACAACGGGCUUCAGGCUCUGCCCGCCCAGUUCAGCCGUCUGCAGCGGCUCAAAAUGCUCAACCUCUCCUCCAACCUCUUUGAGGAGUUCCCUGCUGCACUGCUGCCCCUGGCUGGUCUGGAGGAGCUCUACCUUAGUCGCAACCAACUCACCUCAGUGCCAUCUCUGAUCUCGGGCCUGGGCCGGCUCCUCACCCUGUGGCUGGAUAAUAACCGGAUCCGCUACCUGCCAGAUUCCAUUGUGGAGCUCACAGGCCUGGAGGAGCUAGUGCUGCAAGGGAACCAGAUCGCUGUGCUGCCGGACAACUUUGGUCAGCUCUCCCGGGUGGGCCUGUGGAAGAUCAAGGACAAUCCACUGAUCCAGCCCCCUUACGAAGUCUGUAUGAAGGGGAUCCCCUACAUCGCAGCCUACCAGAAGGAGCUGGCCCAUUCCCAGCCUGCGGUGCAGCCCCGCCUCAAGCUGCUCCUGAUGGGCCAUAAGGCUGCAGGGAAGACCUUGCUCCGUCACUGUCUCACUGAGGACAGAGUGGAGGGAAACGAAGGAGGGGACAAGGAAAAGAACUACCCACCUUCAUCUCCUCCCGUGAGCAAGGGCAUCGAGGUGACCAGCUGGACAGCUGAUGCUUCUCGGGGCCUGCGGUUCAUUGUGUAUGACUUAGCUGGGGAUGAGAGUUAUGAGGUGAUCCAGCCCUUCUUCCUCUCCCCAGGGGCCCUUUAUGUGCUGGUGGUGAACUUGGCCACCUAUGAGCCACUGCACUUUCCCUCCACGGUGGGCUCCUUCUUGCACCGGGUUGGGGCCCGGGUGCCUCAUGCUGUGGUGUGCAUUGUGGGCACUCACGCAGACCUGUGUGGGGAGCGGGAGCUGGAGGAGAAAUGUCUGGAUAUUCACCGCCAGAUCGCCCUGCAGGAGAAGCAUGACGCCGAGGGGCUGAGCCACCUGGCUCAGGUGGUGGACGAGGCGCUGGCCCAGGACUUUGAACUUCGCUCUGCCAGCCCCCAUGCAGCCUACUAUGGUGUUUCGGACAAGAACCUGCGGCGACGCAAGGCCCAUUUUCAGUACCUGCUCAACCACCGGCUGCAGAUCCUGUCCCCUGUGUUGCCUGUGAGCUGCAGGGAUCCCCGCCAAUUACAGCGUCUUCGGGACAAACUGCUCUCUGUCGCUGAGCACCGGGAAAUCUUCCCCAACUUACAUAGAGUACUGCCUCGGUCCUGGCAGGUGCUGGAGGAACUGCACUUCCAGCCACCUCAGGCACAACGGCUUUGGCUAAGCUGGUGGGACUCGGCACGCCUGGGCCUGCAGGCGGGUCUGACUGAGGACCGGCUACAGAGUGCCCUGUCCUACCUGCAUGAGAGUGGCAAGCUGCUCUACUUUGAGGAUAGCCCGGCCCUCAAGGAGCAUGUCUUCCACAACCUCACCCGCCUCAUUGACAUCCUCAAUGUCUUUUUCCAGAGGGAUCCUGCCUUGUUGCUGCAUAAGCUGCUCCUAGGGACCAGUGGAGAGGGCGAGGGUGAGGGGGAUACCUCCCUCAUGAUGGCACUGCCCACACCGAGCCAGGACCUGCUCCGAGCCACCCAGCUCCAUCAUUAUGUGGAGGGCUUUCUGCUUCAUGGGCUCUUGCCGGCCCAUGUCAUUCGGUUGCUGCUUAAGCCUCAUGUCCAGGCCCAGCAAGACUUGCAACUGCUGCUGGAGCUGCUGGAGAAGAUGGGACUCUGCUACUGUCUCAAUAAACCCAAGGGCAAGCUUUUGAAUGGGUCCACGGCCUGGUACAAGUUCCCAUGCUAUGUGCAGAACGAGGUGCCCCAUGCAGAGGCCUGGAUUAAUGGGACCAACCUAGCUGGACAGUCUUUUGUGGCUGAACAGUUGCAGAUUGAAUAUAGUUUUCCCUUUACCUUUCCACCGGGGUUGUUUGCACGCUACAGUGUCCAGAUCAACAGCCACGUGGUGCAUAGGUCGGAUGGGAAACUUCAGAUCUUUGCAUACAGAGGGAAAGUUCCUGUGGUGGUGAGUUACAGACCUGCCAAGGGGGUCCUGCAGCCAGACACUCUGUCCAUUGCCAGCCAUGCUUCAUUACCAAAUAUAUGGACAGCAUGGCAAGCCAUAACGCCCUUGGUAGAGGAACUGAAUGUCCUACUUCAAGAAUGGCCUGGACUGCACUACACCGUGCACAUUCUCUGUUCUAAGUGCCUUAAAAGAGGGUCGCCCAAUCCCCAUGCUUUCCCAGGGGAGCUGCUGAGUCAGCCCAGACCAGAAGGAGUGGCAGAGAUCAUUUGCCCCAAGAACGGCAGCGAACGAGUGAAUGUUGCCUUGGUUUACCCACCUACACCGACUGUGAUCAGCCCCUGUUCUAAGUAUCUCCAUACUUUCUUGGAAAAUUAAGUGGAAAGGAAUAGUGCUUCUUUCCCUUAUGCCAUCACUUUUACUGUACCCAAUCUGUGACUUUAGGAGCACCAAUUUUUAAGGGAAGAACGUUGGCGAAAAGCACAGAAACCAGUGACUUUUACGGCUGUGGAAUUUCCGUGGAGAAAAGAGAGCAUCAGAACUCACCUGAACCAUCUUUUGUACCUGAACAGUCUGUAAAAUUUAGCAGAGCAUUUUGAAAGCCUCCCACAUCUGGCUGUCAGGCCUGAAGAUAGUAAAUGGCCUAAUUGGAGAGCAUAAUCCCACAUUAUUUAUUAAUACAGAGCCUCUGAUUGCCAAGAACUAGCAAAACUCUUGUUUUAAAGUCUCCAAGAAGCAAAAUUUGAAAAGCAAACCAAACAAAUUGCUUUCUCUUCUCCUAAUUGGGGCCACACAGCAUCUGCUGCAAUAGUAACACAUUCUAGUCUUUGAAGAAUGGAAAGGACUCUGUCUACAUCUGCUGCCUCUGCCUGUUGAGUGGAAAUGUGUAAGACUGUUUCUCACCAGUGUAAGACAGGAAAAGUGAGUCAGCUGGUAUUAUUCUUUUCCUUCUUUUAUAAAGUACUGACUCUUGGAAUGCCACAGUAUAGAAAGUCUCGACACAUGUUUUAAAAGAAAUAACAAACAAGCAAGUGGCUGCAUUGCAAAAAAUCCAUUUUUGUAGAAUAUUUUGUGCCCCAGAAGUUAACUUCACUAACUGCAGAACCUCCAAUUAAACAAGUAUGAUUUCUUAUGAUCAUAAAAUCAAGUGGGAUCAGACCAUUUCUGCAUUUUUAAAUAGUCGAAUAUGAUACCUCAAAUUUGAGAUUUCAUUUUCUUUUAGAAUACAGUCACAAAGUUAAUCUGGUUAAUCCUUUUGUCACAGUUCUCGUGUGUACGCAUGUGUGUGGGGGCGUGUGUGUGUAAGUAUAAGCUGAAUGCUAACAUUGAAUUGCUUUACGGAUCAUUGAAUCAUUGGGCAUAAGAGUUUUUCAAUUGCCAUGAGACAGUUCCUAAACUGUCAGAUUAACUGAUUUUGAUUUUGAAAAAACUCUAGCUUACUCUCCAGGGGACCAUAUUAAAUGGAAAAAAAAAAUACUCCUUGGGGUGACAUACCCUGCAAAAGUGUGUGCUGUUAUUAUCAACAUAAAUGCCCACAUUCUUAAUAUCUGCUAUUUUUUGACAAGUGAUGUUUUGUGCUGUCAUCUGAACCCUAGAGAAGCAGUGUAAGAAGAAAUCUUGGUGUCACAUAUGUUUAAGUAAAAAGGUCAUGGUGAUAGAGGGUCAUGUGACCGAAAGCAGCUCCAGAAAAGCUUGAGAACUUGCUUCAGGGUGAGGGGAGGGUUAGAGAUACAGAAAACACUCUGCUCUACAGGAAUUUUCGCUGUCUGUGCAGGAAAGUCCAUUUCUUCUUUCGCCAUCUGGGAAGACUCAGCCAGCCGAGGCUGACAGGCAAUUCACUAAGCACAAGGGGAGCCUUCCAGCCAAGUAGUCCCUGGCGUCGCAAAAAAACGUCCUCCAAGUUUGUUAUGGUUUCUAUUCCUGCAACUUGUGGUAUCAAAACCACUUCCUGGAAUUGUAAAAGUGCUACCAGAAUAAAUGUUUUUCCCCUUCCAAGAAAAAAAAUGACAGUGCUCAGAUUUGACAGUUGUGCUGUGAACUCUUUUGAAUGAAUAAAAUGGAAAGGGUUUGGUGUCACUCCUGGUGGAGUGUGUGUUCUCUAUCAUGCCACUGUUUGUAAAUUGUAAUUGCGGUUUCCCAUUUAAUUGUCAUAACUGGGCAGAAAAUUAAAAAAAAAAAAUUCAAAAAAGUUCAAUAAAAAUGCAA